rnacentral:rRNA from 1 species
UACGUAGGGCGCAAGCGUUGUCCGGAAUUAUUGGGCGUAAAGAGCUCGUAGGCGGUCUGUCGCGUCGGCUGUGAAAACCCGAGGCUCAACCUCGGGCCUGCAGUCGAUACGGGCAGACUAGAGUGCUGUAGGGGGAGACUGGAAUUCCUGGUGUAGCGGUGAAAUGCGCAGAUAUCAGGAGGAACACCGGUGGCGAAGGCGGGUCUCUGGGUAGUAACUGACGCUGAGGAGCGAAAGCGUGGGGGAGCGAACAGG